AUCAUUUCGUGACCCUAAUUUCGUUCUUAGUUUAUUUAAUUUCACGGGGCUUCGAUAUGUUCAGUUUAAACUUUGGAGGAAAAUCGACCGGUUCUUUCAGUGACUUGAAGAAUGGGGCGGCCGAGUAUCUGUCGCAAAGCUAUUCAGGCGGCUUUUUGCCAAGAAGGAGAUGCGUAUAUUGAUGGUUGGGCUUGGUGCUGCCUGUAAAAGCACCAUUCUUUACAAGCUCAAGCUGGGAUCUUAUAAAAAAUAUGAAUAUCCUGCUAUUUCAGGGUGCUAUAAAUCUCCUGAUGCAAGUAUAUAGAAAGGAAUUUGCUUCUAUAGGUGGUUAUCUUACUGAUGCGGGCGAGGUAAAUUUUCCAUUUUCCUAUGCAUCUACCAAGUCUUUAGUAGAUCCUGGGAGAAUGUAAUUUGUUGCUCGAGAUUAGGGAGCAUUGUUAUUUUUAAUUUCUUUCACAAUUAGAAGUUAGGCAGAAAUUAGGGGAACCAGGAUACAAAGAAAGAUAUUAAGCUGAGAAAUUCAAUGUAUCAAACGAAGGGGAGAUUGAAGAAGUUAAAAGAGAUGUCGUUUUGAAGUAUGUUGAAGGUUUAUGUUGGAUAUGCUGCUAUUACUACCAAGGUGUUUGCUCUUGGCAAUGGUUUUAUCCAUAUCAUUUUGCACCAUUUGCUUCAGAUCUUAAGGAUCUGACUGACUUGGAAAUAACAUUUUUCAUGGGAGAACCAUUUAAGCCAUUUGACCAGCUCAUGGGAACUCUGCCAGCUGCCAGGAUUCAAUGUUGAAACCGUGGAAUACAAGAACAUCAGCUUUACUGUAUGGGAUGUUGGUGGCCAAGACAAGGUUAAAAGAAUAUGGGAAUAGAAAAUGGUUUAUUGGAUUGUCUUUUAAAGUCCAACCAGAAACCUAGAGGAAUGAUUGAGCUCAGUUUCAUCCUCCUUUUGCAGGACUUCUCUGCUGUAAGAUUAAAGGUGGCAAAUAUAUUUCAGGGUAUCUGCUGUUCCUCCUCCUUUACUUGCCCUUUCUAUUGAGUUUUCUCCGGAGAGUCCCCAUUGGCUUUUCAAGGCACCAUAUUUGCUUAUGGCGUGACAAGCAGUGGGAAGACUCGUACGAAGGAGCAAUGAAGACUAAAUUCUAGUGAAUAAUAUUUUUUUUAAUUGAAAGUGAAAGGGCCUAGACUAAA